ensembl:snRNA U6 U6 spliceosomal RNA
GUGCUCUCUUCGGCAGCACAUAUACUAAAAUAGGAACAAUACAGAGAAGAGUAGCAUGGCCCCUGUGCAUGGAUGACACUCAAAUUCAUGAAGCAUUCCAUAUUUUU